rnacentral:rRNA from 1 species
CCUACGGGGUGCAGCAGUGGGGAAUAUUGCACAAUGGGCGCAAGCCUGAUGCAGCCAUGCCGCGUGUGUGAAGAAGGCCUUCGGGUUGUAAAGCACUUUCAGCGGGGAGGAAGGCGUUAAGGUUAAUAACCUCAUCGAUUGACGUUACCCGCAGAAGAAGCACCGGCUAACUCCGUGCCAGCAGCCGCGGUAAUACGGAGGGUGCAAGCGUUAAUCGGAAUUACUGGGCGUAAAGCGCACGCAGGCGGUCUGUCAAGUCGGAUGUGAAAUCCCCGGGCUCAACCUGGGAACUGCAUUCGAAACUGGCAGGCUGGAGUCUUGUAGAGGGGGGUAGAAUUCCAGGUGAAGCGGUGAAAUGCGUAGAGAUCUGGAGGAAUACCGGUGGCGAAGGCGGCCCCUGGACAAAGACUGACGCUCAGGUGCGAAAGCGUGGGGAGCAAACAGGAUUAGAUACCCUCGUAGUC